rnacentral:misc_RNA from 1 species
AGACAGUGUUAUUUGUAGUAAAAUAAUAGUAAAUGAAAUUCUUAUGAACUUUAUAAGCUUUUUCCUUUGGAUAAGUUAACAUCAAUAGGGCUUUAAAAGAAGGAAAUAAAGAAAGCAAAAGCUAUAGGGAGAUUUAAUGGAUUCCACAGUCUGUGUCUUCUGCUGUUUCUUUGAUGAGCAUUAUACUCACGCCUCCAACAAUAAGACAAACCAUAGCCCACCUAACAAACCCCACUUUCAAACUAAUCAAAA